GACGAACGCUGGCGGCGUGCUUAACACAUGCAAGUCGAACGGAAAGGCCCAGCUUGCUGGGUACUCGAGUGGCGAACGGGUGAGUAACACGUGGGUGAUCUGCCCUGAACUUCGGGAUAAGCCUGGGAAACUGGGUCUAAUACCGGAUAUGACCAUUGGUUGCAUGACUUUUGGUGGAAAGCUUUUGCGGUUCAGGAUGGGCCCGCGGCCUAUCAGCUUGUGGGGGAGGGAACGGCUCACCAAGGCGACGACGGGUAGCCGACCUGAGAGGGUGAUCGGCCACACUGGGACUGAGACACGGCCCAGACUCCUACGGGAGGCAGCAGUGGGGAAUAUUGCACAAUGGGCGCAAGCCUGAUGCAGCGACGCCGCGUGGGGGAUGACGGCCUUCGGGUUGUAAACCUCUUUCGGCAGGGACGAAGCGCAAGUGACGGUACCUGCAGAAGAAGCACCGGCCAACGAAGGGCCAGCAGCCGCCGUAAAAC
rnacentral:rRNA from 1 species